CGUACUGUUCGUGAGGGUUGUAGGGAAUUUUAGUUUCUGAACCGCGGAGACGCAGUAACUGUGGCAGGCGUUUGUAAUCUCGGUUCUCAGGGAGGCUGAAGGAUCGCAAAUUUGAACCCAGUUCGGGCAAUUUAGUGACUUGAGGAAACCCUGUCUCAAAAAUUUUUUUAAAAAAUGGGCCGUGGAUGUAGCGCAGUGCGAAGGCGUUGGGUUCAAUCACCAUCAUCAUUAAAAAGAAAAAGACGUGAUUUUAAAAGUGCUGUUCGACAUGUGACGGUGGGCUCUGUCACUCAGUGGUUAUUCCACUCUGCCUCUCAAGUACAAGGACCCGAGUUCGAUCCUUGGUACCAAAAAAGAAAAAAAGAGGCCAAAGAAAUGCAUCAUAUAGGGUACGUUACAUUCCAGGGUGGGUUCAAGCCCUGGGCAGACAGGGAGUCUUGAAGGUAGAUAUCAAGGUAUGUCCUUGGCAGCACUAACAGGUUAGGUAUGGAGUUAUGUUCUUGGCAACGCUAGCAAGAAAAUAUGUGCUUACCAUAAUCAUUUAUUAUAGACUGCAGAACUUUGGAGUUAUUAACUCCAUUUUCAGAUUAACCCAUACCACACUUUUCCUUUUCAACUGGAGCUUUAUGAAAUCUCCACCUUGUCAAAUCUCAAUCUUGGUAAUCCUCGAUCCCUGCCUGUGUUAAAAACAAGAACACAGGCCAGGGAUUUAGCUCAGUGGUUCUGCCGCCUGCCUCACAAGCAGAAGGACCCGAGUUGGAUCCCCGGUACCAAAAAACAAAACAAAACAAAGAAAAAAACCAAGAACACAAAACAAGGGUUCUACUACUCAACAUUGAGAUUACUUCACCUUCAGGGCAGCCCCUCACCCCCUAAAGUCGGUAGGUGGAUGUCAAAAUAGCUUUUCUGAAUUUCCCUUUUUCAUUUCCUGUGGCAAUGGGUGUCACCUCCUUCAUCUCCAUGAGCACCCCUUCUACAGCCACCCCAAAGAAACAGAAUCAGAGCCAGGCUUGGUGGUGCAUGUGCCUAACCACAGCACUCCGGGAGGCUGAGCCAGGAGGAUCACAAAUUGGAGCUGCUUGGACAAUUUAGUGAUGCAGGGAGACCCCGUAUCAAACCAAAAAGAAAAAGGCACUGGGAAUGUAGCUCACAGAAAGGCCCUGAAUCCCCAGUACUGCAAGAGAGGAAAAAAAGCAACAUAGAAAUAGGCAAAAACUGUGCUUGUCAUUGAGACAAACAUGCUGGUUCUUCACAUGGAAAUUCGCUCUCCCAUGAGAACAUUCACC
rnacentral:lncRNA from 1 species